rnacentral:snoRNA from 1 species
ACCGGCAAGUAGCACGAAGUGUGGCUGCCGCCGUGUCACAGGUGCAUCCCUAGGUGGCAGAGAGGGCUGAGAGAGGCUGUGUUUACACUCAGUGUUCUGACCUAGGAACAUCUGAAUGAUUAGCAACUUAAAAUU